rnacentral:rRNA from 1 species
GAGUUUGAUCUGGCUCAGAACGAACGCUGGCGGCGUGCCUAACACAUGCAAGUCGAACGUGAUCCAGAGCUUGCUCUGGUGAAAGUGGCGCACGGGUGAGUAACGCGUGGAUAACCUACCCUGGUAUCCGGGAUAACAUUCCGAAAGGGGUGCUAAUACCGGAUAAGCCCACGGGCUCUUUGGAGCUUGCGGGAAAAGGUGGCCUCUAUUUAUAAGCUACUGUAUCAGGAUGGGUCCGCGUACCAUUAGCUAGUUGGCGGUGUAACGGACCACCAAGGCGACGAUGGUUAGCUGGUCUGAGAGGAUGAUCAGCCACACUGGAACUGAGACACGGUCCAGACUCCUACGGGAGGCAGCAGUGGGGAAUUUUGCGCAAUGGGGGAAACCCUGACGCAGCAACGCCGCGUGAGUGAUGAAGGCCUUUGGGUCGUAAAGCUCUGUCAGAGGGGAAGAAAUGAUAUAGUGCUAAUACCACUUUAUCUUAACGGUACCCUCAAAGGAAGCACCGGCUAACUCCGUGCCAGCAGCCGCGGUAAUAC